UACUGGUCCAUACUGGUCCAUACUGGCCCAUACUGCCCCAUACUGGCCCAUACUGGCCCAUACUGGUCCAUACUGCCCCAUACUGGCCCAUACUGCCCCAUACUGGUCCCUACUGGUCCAUACUGGUCCAUACUGGCCCAUACUGGUCCACACUGACUCAUACUGGUCCAUACUUGUCCAUACUGCCCCAUACUGACUCAUACUGGCCUAUACUGGUCCAUACUGGUCCAUACUGCCCCAUACUGCCCCAUACUGGUCCCUACUGGUCCAUACUGGUCCAUACUGCCCCGUACUGCCCCAUACUGGUCCAUACUGGUCCCUACUGGUCCAUACUGGUCCGCAGACC
rnacentral:lncRNA from 1 species